AACAAUUUCAUAAGCUCUGGGCUAUGAUAUUUUGUUUAUUUAUUUUUGUCAAUUUUUUAGCUUCAUGGAACAUUCUGGAGAGGCACUGUCUACAAUAAUUCCCACAUUGAGUAACUUUGCCAGUGAUAUAUUGUGAUAUGCUUCACAGGCCCAUGGGGUAGACGCAACACAUCUGGAUUAAAAGCUGCUUCAUCAGGGAGGAUGCAGGGUCCAUAGAGGGUAGGACCUGUGCAAAACAUCUCAGGAGUACUCAGCCAAUCACAACUUGAAAAUCAUUCACGGUUCAAUGGGCUGUCAAAAGCUUUUUCCAGUUAAGGGGCUAACAAAGUGGAUAUUGGGACAGCCCUAUUUCACGCUUACAACUUUUCAAAACGGUUCUGGAUUUAUCUUAUGCCUGUGUUCCCAAACCACUGGAUUACUAAAUAUUAAACUGAAGCGCAACAGACUGUCUCAGCUUACCCGUUUUUUUUGGUUUCACGCUUUGUAAGACUGGGAAUGGCUCAAGGAAUCAUUUUCAGCUACUAUAACUAUACAAAUGUGAGGAUCUCUCAGCCUUCAGCUUCUUCCAGUCUCAAACUGACUCCUUGGGGGUGGGGGGACAUCAUUGAUCUUUGGUGAAAGAGUAUAAACAACUCGCUGCAUCAGCCCCAAGACCUGUGUUUAAUGAGCGGAUGUCUAUAGUUCUAUGUAUUCUGUUUGCCAGCUAACUUGUGUGUAUUGUUCACUUCCAGAAAAAAGACUAGAGUCUGCCUGAGAUUUACUUUCCUUCCUGAAUUGGCAGGAGCAACGGUGCCCCCUCUCGCCCCCUUCCAGCCAACCUCAUUGUGUUCCAUGGUACUGCCAGAGUCCUUAACCCCUUCACUCCUGCAUAACUGCAUGAACUGUGCACCAAGAUUCAACUGCACACCUGUCUGUUUGGAAUGUCAACAAAAAACAAGCCUCCCGCCCCCCUCGCAACAGCUUUCUUCCAAACCGAGGAUGUGAAUGCAUCACGGACCAGAAGGAUAAGGCCCAGCACAAACACACCUUCCACACAAGCUUCAGCUGUACAACCAGCCCACAGCUGCACAGCAUGGCUCUCACAAAACCACAUGGGCACCACCAUGCUACACACCUGCCCUUUGAAAUGGAAGGGACUACUGUACCCACUGUAAAUGCAUUGCUUGUAUCCAAGUGUGUUUGUACCAAAACAUUGACUGAAUCUUAUUUUCUGGGCAAGGCAACUUCCUGCAUGUUUGUUACAGUAAAAAUCACAGCCUGUCUUAUUCCGUACAAGUAGAAAAGUGUAUUGUAUUUUGAUACACAAAACUGAGCUGAGGUUUUAAAAAAAUGUGCUGCAUUGCAGGCAAGUCUGACUGGGUUUAUUCAUUCUAAAUUCUUCUUAAUCGAUUCAUCCUUCCAAAUCCCAUUCCAUUUAAAUCUAUUCUAGUUCAGAUUCCUUCAAAGGAAUUUCAAUUGGAAUCGAUUAAAAUGGAAUAGGAAUUGGAACCAGAAUGGAGAAUCCAGUAUAAAUGGAACUGGAAUUGGAAUAAAGGAAUCCCAACCCUGACAGGUGCACACACAAACACUCACAUAAAUACACAGAAACAUUUCAAAUGUAUUUCAUUAACUUUGUUACUUACUGUACCACAAUUAGUUCACAUGUCAUUGAGAUUCAGCACGGAUCUAUAACACUAAUUUUUACUGGAUAACAGUGACACUAAAUCUAAAGCUGAAACAAGCAGUUUAAAUAAAUGAGCAGUCAAAGUGCAAGGCAAGCCGACACGAGUAAACAAAUCAGACAUUUCAUAUGCCACUGAAGAAUGGCCACAAACGCAUUCUAAGCUGGCUUUGAUACAUGAUAGCAACACAAGGGGCUCUAUUCAGUACAAAUUCAUGACCGCAGGAUUGUGAAAGCUCAAGCUGAAAAACUUCUACAAUUAAAAAAAAAAAAAACAGGUAUGCA